AGAGCAGAAAGCAGUAUUCUGGGCCCAGCCUUGGAUCGAAAAGUCAUUAUCCAGCGAUCAGUCAAGCUUACUGGGCACCACAACCACAAAAUACACCUUAUUCUGUUCCAGCGUGUCCUGUUAGUCGUCAAACGAACGACGAGCGAUGCGUCAUAUAGGUAUGCCUACAUAUUAUUAUUGCAAACGCGCCGUAUCUUUAAACGAUGAGGUAUAACAAAGGCAACGUACCAAGGUCGUAAAACGAGCAGUGCAUGAAUUCACCAAUGCAGAUGAUUAUUAAAUCUUCUUAUUAAAACAUUCUGCGGAUGAUAUACGUUGCAGAUACGUGCGCGUAUAGAUAGAUGGCAGAUUGAGAUAGCAGAAGAUGGAUGAUAAAUAAGCAGAGAAUGAGAAAUUUACGAAGGAUAACGAAUGUAUCUAUAAAUAUACGUAUUAACAGAAAAGAUUUAGGACUUAAGAUAUUAUACACCAGAUUGAGUGGUAAAGUUAAUGUACUAUCAUUAGAAUUAUUAACUCCUUAUGACAGAUUGAAAACACAUGGAGUAUCUCAUGCAGCAUUGUUUCUACUAACGAAGUAUUCUACAUUCUACACGAUGUUGAUUCAAGGAAAAUGGCAAAUAAGUUAGCUACUUUUCGUACGAUAUAAAGCUUAUUUCGCAUAGGUAAAAGAGAAUCGCGAAUAUGGACAUAUUAUCAUGAGCAAACAUUGACUGACUACUAUCGUACGUAUCUAUGUAAAGACGAAGAGCAUCGAAUUACGACGCAACGUGAGAUGAUUUAUUACAGUUAAUCAGCUCUCAGAACUUUACUAACGUCGGAUGACUCAUCAUCAGGAAAUAUCAUUCUCAGCCAGGAGUAAUUAAACAACACAUUGUCCGUAUACUGCCAUCGAUGUUUAGUCAAUUAUAUAGAAAGCAAGGAAGUACUUUACCCGAUUACUGCUGAUGUUUAUGCAAAUUCAUAUUUUUAUGAACACAAACAAAGAAAUAUCUGUAUUGUGAAUAGAGGCUUGUUUUACCUUCAACCAACUAUUUAUGCGAAGAUAAUAAAUUAUAAUGAAAGAAAAAUAACGGUGCAGUUUAUAUUAUAUCGACAUUGUUCAUAUCAUAUAAUUUAUACUACAGCGAUAUGAAGAAUUUCUUCAAUGAACCCUUUACUAUGAUGACACGAUUUAUUUGCGAAGGCGUUUGAAAUGCACUGGCAUACUUCUGCAAUAUUUCAAAUUUAUGGUACCUUAAGACGAUAUGAAGCAACAACUGGCACAAAUGGUUUCCAAAAUCGUGAAUGUAGAAAUUAUGAAAUCAUAAUUCAAAAAUUAUACAUUGAAGAUUUGUUAAAUCAUUCAAAAGGUUGAUAGCAUAAUAUACAAAUUAAUUCAGGAAAUUAUUGAAAAAAUUAUUGAAAAAGAAUUAUUGAAAAAAAACAACAGUCUUUAAAUAUAAGUUACGAAGAAACUGGAGAUACAGUAGGUAUGUGUCGUAACAAUUGUUUUAAAUUUGUUCAGUUCUAAAGAUACUCGUACCACUCUUUAAACUCGAUAAUACUUAAAUUAUCGUUUCCAAUCCUUCAAAUGUUACGUCAGCAUAGACGGCAGGUCUAUGCAUAUUUUUUCAGUAUUAUUGACAUUUUUUAAGAAAUGUAGAUUUUUCUUUUCCAUUCUCUUAACCGCCGUAUUAUCCAACAACCAAGUAUGAACGACUAUGCAUGUGUAUAUAUAUAUAUAU